rnacentral:rRNA from 1 species
ACUGCUCAGUAACACGUGGACAACCUGCCCUUAGGUCGGGUAUAAACCCGGGAAACUGGGUAUAAUACCCGAUAGGUCUCGAUUGCUGGAAUGCAUCGAGAUUUAAAGCUCCGGCGCCUAAGGAUGGGUCUGCGGCCUAUCAGGUAGUAGUGGGUGUAGCGUACCUACUAGCCUACGACGGGUACGGGUUGUGAGAGCAAGAGCCCGGAGAUGGAUUCUGAGACACGAAUCCAGGCCCUACGGGGUGCAGCAGGCGCGAAAACUUUACAAUGCUGGCAACAGCGAUAAGGGAACCUCGAGUGCCAGGUUACAAAUCUGGCUGUCGAGAUGCCUAAAAAGCAUUUCAUAGCAAGGGCCGGGCAAGACCGGUGCCAGCCGCCGCGGUAACACCGGCGGCUCGAGUGGUAACCGUUAUUAUUGGGUCUAAAGGGUCUGUAGCCGGCCGGAUAAGUCUCUUGAGAAAUCUGGCAGCUUAACUGUCAGGCUUUCAGGAGAUACUGUCUGGCUCGAGGCCGGGAGAGGUGAGAGGUACUUCAGGGGUAGGGGUGAAAUCUUGUAAUCCUUGAAGGACCACCAGUGGCGAAGGCGUCUCACCAGAACGGACCUGACGGCAAGGGACGAAAGCUAGGGGCACGAACCGGAUUAGAUACCCGGGUAGUCCUAGCCGUAAACGAUACUCGCUAGGUGUCGGCCACGGUGCGACCGUUGUCGGUGCCGUAGGGAAGCCGUGAAGCGAGCCACCUGGGAAGUACGGCCGCAAGGCUGAAACUUAAAGGAAUUGGCGGGGGAGCAC